UGCUUGUUUCAGCGUGUCGGUUUUUCCUGUGUGAGUAAAUCAACGAUGCUCUAAAUAUCGCUCUGAUCGGUCACGUCCCUCUUUUAACUGUGUCUAAUUAUGUCCAAAUCAUAUCACGUAUAUGACAAACAUUGAUGUAUGAAUCGCGAUUUGGUGGUCGAUGGAUAUUUGUUUUUCUCAUGGGUACUCGUGCUAGUAAACAGAACCAUUGUUUAUUACUGUUUAUUUCUAAAUCGAAAUGCGGCGGACGCGAACAGAUUGAUUAAUUAAUUGUUCACUAUCAAAUUAUUACCGCGACUUUCACAGACCAGCUCGUGUUUAACCUAAAAGAGGCUGUCGAUGCUUGUCAGACGAAAAUAAGCCAGUUAUAACUUUGUGUCAACAAGUGUUACAGUGUCGUAUACUGUCUCAAUUUUUUAUGAUAUGAUUAUUGGAGAAACUGAACAUCGAAUGCACAUGAUACUUUCGAUACAAUUCAAUAGUCAGUAAAUUAGUUCUCCGAUGAAUCCAUUGCCGAACUUAUCUGAUAUAGUGUAUGAAAAAUUCCUGUGAAAAUUUGUUACGAUAUCAAGAUUUCUGUGACAAAACAGGACGAUGUGAACAUGUGUGUAUAUUUAUGUGCAGCAACGUGAAGUAGGCUGACAUUAUGCAGAAAUUCAGCAAUGGGUACCUGUUCGUAGUCGAGACUGGCAGACAGCGUGAAAACCCCGGUGUUUGGGUUCAGUGAGAACACAUCGUUAGCCCAGUCGGAAAUCAAGGCGUAGCUCAAUUGGCUGUUGGGCCCUUCGCCAUCGAUGUCAGUGGCAACCACCUGGCCAACGCGACUUCCUCUGAGGGCGUUCUCAGGAACGUCGAAAGAGUAAGCCAUGGCCUGGAAUGUGGGGGCAUUGUCGUUCGUGUCCGUUAUCUGGAACAGCGCAGCAGGAAGAGUUUUCUUUAUCUCUAGAUGAAAAGGAGAAAGGAACGCGAGCCAGGUUUAAAUUCGAACGGCAUUCCGAAUUGGGCGAUUGAAGAUGUCUAGGGGCUUCUUGGAUGAAAGACCGUAAUGGCGGUGGAGGGGUUUGCAAAAACUAACCGAGCCUCAAGAUGAUGAGGAGACGCGCUGCCUGGUGGAUACUGGAAUUGGUGAGAGAGAACGGAGGGGGAAGUAAGAGGCCGAACGAGCACAAGAGUAAGAGAUGAAGGGAGCGUUACAGGAGGAAGAAAAAGGGACAGAGCGAUGAAGAGAGAUGCUCCUUGGGAACGUGUGUGUACGAGAAAGACGGAACGACGUUUCCAGCUAACGAAGAGUGUUAGUUGACCGUAAGUAUUGAUUGCUGUGCAUUUAAUUGCUUCGACGAAUUGCAGCCGCGAAAA